rnacentral:rRNA from 1 species
CCUACGGGUGGCAGCAGUGGGGAAUAUUGGGCAAUGGAGGCAACUCUGACCCAGCAACGCCGCGUGAGUGAUGAAGGUCUUCGGAUUGUAAAACUCUUUAAGUGGGGACGAAGAAAGUGACUGUACCCACAGAAUAAGCCUCGGCUAACUACGUGCCAGCCACGGGGGUAAUACGUAGGCGGCAAGCGUUAUCCGGAAUGACUGGGCUGAAAGGGUGCGGAGGUGGUUUGCAAAGUUAGUAGCGUAAUUCCGGGGCUCACCGUCGGAACUACUACUAAAACUGUGGGGCUUGAGUGCAGGAGAGGUGAAUGGAAUGCCUGGUGUAGCGGUGGAAUGCGUAGAUAUUA